rnacentral:pre_miRNA from 1 species
UAUUUAGUGUAACUAUAUCCCAUGCAAUAUUUAGGACAUACUUACACUAAAA